UGCGAAUACCGGAGAAUGUUAUCACGGGAGACACACGGCGGGUGCUAACGUCCGUCGUGAAGAGGGAAACAACCCAGACCGCCAGCUAAGGUCCCAAAGUCAUGGUUAAGUGGGAAACGAUGUGGGAAGGCCCAGACAGCCAGGAUGUUGGCUUAGAAGCAGCCAUCAUUUAAAGAAAGCGUAAUAGCUCACUGGUCGAGUCGGCCUGCGCGGAAGAUGUAACGGGGCUAAACCAUGCACCGAAGCUGCGGCAGCGACACUGUGUGUUGUUGGGUAGGGGAGCGUUCUGUAAGCCUGUGAAGGUGGCCUGUGAGGGUUGCUGGAGGUAUCAGAAGUGCGAAUGCUGACAUAAGUAACGAUAAAGCGGGUGAAAAGCCCGCUCGCCGGAAGACCAAGGGUUCCUGUCCAACGUUAAUCGGGGCAGGGUGAGUCGACCCCUAAGGCGAGGCCGAAAGGCGUAGUCGAUGGGAAACGGGUUAAUAUUCCCGUACUUGGUGUUACUGCGAAGGGGGGACGGAGAAGGCUAUGUUGGCCGGGCGACGGUUGUCCCGGUUUAAGCGUGUAGGUGUGUGUUCCAGGUAAAUCCGGUU
rnacentral:rRNA from 1 species